GGGCCCACACAAGCGGUGGAGCAUGUGGUUUAAUUCGAUGAUACGCGAGGAACCUUACCAGGGCUUAAAUGUAGUGGGACAGGUCUAGAGAUAGACCCUUCUUCGGACUCAUUACAAGGUGCUGCAUGGUUGUCGUCAGCUCGUGCCGUGAGGUGUCAGGUUAAGUCCUAUAACGAGCGCAACCCCUAUCGUUAGUUGCCAGCGGGUAAUGCCGGGAACUCUAAGGAGACUGCCGAUGACAAAUCGGAGGAAGGUGGGGAUGACGUCAAAUCAUCACGGCCCUUACGUCCUGGGCUACACACGUGCUACAAUGGCCGGUACAGAGAGCAGCCACUACGCGAGUAGGAGCGAAUCUAUAAAACCGGUCUCAGUUCGGAUCGCAGUCUGCAACUCGACUGCGUGAAGCUGGAAUCGCUAGUAAUCG
rnacentral:rRNA from 1 species